AUACAGAGGGUGCAAGCGUUAAUCGGAAUUACUGGGCGUAAAGCGCACGUAGGUGGUUCAUUAAGUCAGAUGUGAAAGCCCCGGGCUCAACCUGGGAACUGCAUUUGAAACUGGUGAACUAGAGUAUGGUAGAGGUAAGUGGAAUUUCUAGUGUAGCGGUGAAAUGCGUAGAUAUUAGAAGGAACAUCAGUGGCGAAGGCGACUUACUGGACCAAUACUGACACUGAGGUGCGAAAGCGUGGGGAGCAAACGGGAUUAGAAACCCUAGUAGUCC
rnacentral:rRNA from 1 species